AAGGAUUUAAGUUAAAAAAACUUUCAACCUUCAAAGUUGAAAAUGAAGGUAUAAUCUCUUUAAGCCUUA
rnacentral:tRNA from 1 species